rnacentral:rRNA from 1 species
AUUGAACGCUGGCGGCAGGCUUAACACAUGCAAGUCGAGCGGAGAUGAGGUGCUUGCACCUUAUCUUAGCGGCGGACGGGUGAGUAAUGCUUAGGAAUCUGCCAUUUAGUGGGGGACAACAUUCCGAAAGGAAUGCUAAUACCGCAUACGUCCUACGGGAGAAAGCAGGGGAUCUUCGGACCUUGCGCUAAAUGAUGAGCCUAAGUCGGAUUAGCUAGUUGGUGGGGUAAAGGCCUACCAAGGCGACGAUCUGUAGCGGGUCUGAGAGGAUGAUCCGCCACACUGGGACUGAGACGCGGCCCAGACUCCUACGGGAGGCAGCAGUGGGGAAUAUUGGACAAUGGGGGAACCCUGAUCCAGCCAUGCCGCGUGUGUGAAGAAGGCCUUUUGGUUGUAAAGCACUUUAAGCGAGGAGGAGGCUACCUAGAUUAAUACUCUGGGAUAGUGGACGUUACUCGCAGAAUAAGCACCGGCUAACUCUGUGCCAGCAGCCGCGGUAAUACAGAGGGUGCGAGCGUUAAUCGGAUUUACUGGGCGUAAAGCGUGCGUAGGCGGCUGAUUAAGUCGGAUGUGAAAUCCCUGAGCUUAACUUAGGAAUUGCAUUCGAUACUGGUCAGCUAGAGUAUGGGAGAGGAUGGUAGAAUUCCAGGUGUAGCGGUGAAAUGCGUAGAGAUCUGGAGGAAUACCGAUGGCGAAGGCAGCCAUCUGGCCUAAUACUGACGCUGAGGUACGAAAGCAUGGGGAGCAAACAGGAUUAGAUACCCUGGUAGUCCAUGCCGUAAACGAUGUCUACUAGCCGUUGGGGCCUUUGAGGCUUUAGUGGCGCAGCUAACGCGAUAAGUAGACCGCCUGGGGAGUACGGUCGCAAGACUAAAACUCAAAUGAAUUGACGGGGGCCCGCACAAGCGGUGGAGCAUGUGGUUUAAUUCGAUGCAACGCGAAGAACCUUACCUGGCCUUGACAUACUAGAAACUUUCCAGAGAUGGAUUGGUGCCUUCGGGAAUCUAGAUACAGGUGCUGCAUGGCUGUCGUCAGCUCGUGUCGUGAGAUGUUGGGUUAAGUCCCGCAACGAGCGCAACCCUUUUCCUUACUUGCCAGCAUUUCGGAUGGGAACUUUAAGGAUACUGCCAGUGACAAACUGGAGGAAGGCGGGGACGACGUCAAGUCAUCAUGGCCCUUACGGCCAGGGCUACACACGUGCUACAAUGGUCGGUACAAAGGGUUGCUACCUAGCGAUAGGAUGCUAAUCUCAAAAAGCCGAUCGUAGUCCGGAUUGGAGUCUGCAACUCGACUCCAUGAAGUCGGAAUCGCUAGUAAUCGCGGAUCAGAAUGCCGCGGUGAAUACGUUCCCGGGCCU